GAUGAACGCUGGCGGCGUGCCUAAUACAUGCAAGUCGAGCGAACAGAAGAGGAGCUUGCUCCUCUGACGUUAGCGGCGGACAGGUGAGUAACAAGUGGAUAACAAAACUAUAAGACUGGGAUAAAUUCGGGAAACUGGAGCUAAUACCGGAUAAUAUAUUGAACAGAAUGGUUCAAUAGUGAAAGACGGCUUUGCUGUCACUGAUAGAUGGAUCCGCGCCGCAUUAGCUAGUUGGUAAGGUAACGGCUUACCAAGGCGACGAUGCGUAGCCGAACUGAGAGAGUGAUCGGCCACACUGGAACUGAGACACGGUCCAGACUCCUACGGGAGGCAGCAGUAGGGAAUCUUCCGCAAUGGGCGAAAGCCUGACGGAGCAACGCCGCGUGAGUGAUGAAGGUCUUCGGAUCGUAAAACUCUGUUAUUAGGGAAGAACAAUUGUGUAAGUAACUAUGCACUUCUUGACGGUACCUAAUCAGAAAGCCACGGCUAACUACGUG
rnacentral:rRNA from 1 species